GACAUGCCUGGAGGCUGAAAGGGCUUCCGGACGCAUAAAUCGCACCAGGCGCCGUCGUACGCCGGACCAACGACACAUCAAAACAUUUCUAGUUGUUAGAAAGGCGGCGGGGAAAGAAGCAUCCAUACGCGCACGCAAUUAGACCCCCGCCGUGAGAUGCGUCGGCGGCUGUGAGGCAGGUGGGGACAUGCCUGGAGGCUGAAAGGGCUUCCGGACGCAUAUAUCGCACCAGGCGCCGUCGUACGCCGGACCAACGAUGCAUCAUAACAUUUCUAGUUGCUAGAAAGGCGGCGGGGAAUAGGAGCAUCCAUACGCGCACGCAAUUAGACCCCCGCCGUGAGAUGCGUCGGCGGCUGUGAGGCAGGUGGGGACAUGCCUGGAGGCUGAAAGGGCUUCCGGACGCAUAAAUCGCACCAGGCGCCGUCGUACGCCGGACCAACGAUUGCAUCAUAACAUUUCUAGUUGUUAGAAAGGCGGCGGGGAAAGAAGCAUCCAUACGCGCACGCAAUUAGACCCCCGCCGUGAGAUGUGUCGGUGGCUGUGAGGCAGGUGGGGACAUGCCUGGAGGCUGAAAGGGCUUCCGGACGCAUAUAUCGCACCAGGCGCCGUCGUACGCCGGACCAACGAUGCAUCAUAACAUUUCUAGCUGCUAGAAAGGCGGCGGGGAAAGGAGCAUCCAUACGCGCACGCAAUUAGACCCCCGCCGUGAGAUGUGUCGGCGGCUGUGAGGCAGGUGGGGACAUGCCUGGAGGCUGAAAGGGCUUCCGGACGCAUAUAUCGCACCAGGCGCCGUCGUACGCCGGACCAACGAUGCAUCAUAACAUUUCUAGUUGCUAGAAAGGCGGCAGGAAUAGGAGCAUCCAUACGGUCACGCAAUUAGACCCCCGCCGUGAGAUGCGUCGGUGGCUGUGAGGCAGGUGGGGACAUGCCUGGAGGCUGAAAGGGCUUCCGGACGCAUAUAUCGCACCAGGCGCCGUCGUACGCCGGACCAACGAUGCAUCAUAACAUUUCUAGCUGCUAGAAAGGCGGCGGGGAAAGGAGCAUCCAUACGCGUCACGCAAUUAGACCCCCGCCGUGAGAUGCGUCGGCGGCUGUGAGGCAGGUGGGGACAUGCCUGGAGGCUGAAAGGGCUUCCGGACGCAUAUAUCGCACCAGGCGCCGUCGUACGCCGGACCACCGAUGCAUCAUAACAGUAACUAGCUGCUAGAAAGGCGGCGGGGUAGGAGCAUCCAUACGGCACGCAAUUAGACCCCCGCCGUGAGAUGCGUCGGCGGCUGUGAGGCAGGUGGGGACAUGCCUGGAGGCUGAAAGGGCUUCCGGACGCAUAUAUCGCACCAGGCGCCGUCGUACGCCGGACCAACGAUGCAUCAUAACAUUUCUAGUUGUUAGAAAGGCGGCGGGGAAAGGAGCAUCCAUACGGCACGCAAUUAGACCCCCGCCGUGAGAUGCGUCGGUGGCUGUGAGGCAGGUGGGGACAUGCCUGGAGGCUGAAAGGGCUUCCGGACGCAUAAAUCGCACCAGGCGCCGUCGUACGCCGGACCAACGAAGCAUCAUAACAUUUCUAGUUGUUAGAAAGGCGGCAGGAAUAGAAGCAUCCAUACGCGCACGCAAUUAGAACCCCGCCGUGAGAUGCGUCGGUGGCUGUGAGGCAGGUGGGGACAUGCCUGGAGGCUGAAAGGGCUUCCGGACGCAUAAAUCGCACCAGGCGCCGUCGUACGCCGGACCAACGAUGCAUCAUAACAUAACUAGUUGUUAGAAAGGCGGCAGGAAUAGGAGCAUCCAUACGCGCACGCAAUUAGAACCCCGCCGUGAGAUGCGUCGGUGGCUGUGAGGCAGGUGGGGACAUGCCUGGAGGCUGAAAGGGCUUCCGGACGCAUAAAUCGCAUCAGGCGCCGUCGUACGCCGGACCAACGAUGCAUCAUAACAUAACUAGUUGUUAGAAAGGCGGCGGGGAAAGAAGCAUCCAUACGCGCACGCAAUUAGAACCCCGCCGUGAGAUGCGUCGGUGGCUGUGAGGCAGGUGGGGACAUGCCUGGAGGCUGAAAGGGCUUCCGGACGCAUAAAUCGCAUCAGGCGCCGUCGUACGCCGGACCAACGAAGCAUCAUAACAUAACUAGUUGUUAGAAAGGCGGCGGGGAAAGAAGCAUCCAUACGCGCACGCAAUUAGAACCCCGCCGUGAGAUGCGUCGGUGGCUGUGAGGCAGGUGGGGACAUGCCUGGAGGCUGAAAGGGCUUCCGGACGCAUAAAUCGCAUCAGGCGCCGUCGUACGCCGGACCACCGAUGCAUCAUAACAUUUACUAGUUGCUAGAAAGGCGGCGGGGUAAGGAGCAUCCAUACGCGCACGCAAUUAGACCCCCGCCGUGAGAUGCGUCGGCGGCUGUGAGGCAGGUGGGACAUGCCUGGAGGCUGAAAGGGCUUCCGGACGCAUAAAUCGCACCAGGCGCCGUCGUACGCCGGACCACCGAUGCAUCAUAACAUCUACUAGUUGCUAGAAAGGCGGCGGGGUAAGGAGCAUCCAUACGCGCACGCAAUUAGACCCCCGCCGUGAGAUGCGUCGGUGGCUGUGAGGCAGGUGGGACAUGCCUGGGAGGCUGAAAGGGCUUCCGGACGCAUACAUCGCACCAGGCGCCGUCGUACACCGG
rnacentral:lncRNA from 1 species